rnacentral:rRNA from 1 species
ACGGAGGGGGCUAGCGUUGUUCGGAAUUACUGGGCGUAAAGCGCACGUAGGCGGCUUUGCAAGUUAGAGGUGAAAGCCCGGGGCUCAACCUGGGAACUGCAUUUGUGACUGCAAAGCUGGAGUACGGCAGAGGGGGAUGGAAUUCCGCGUGUAGCAGUGAAAUGCGUAGAUAUGCGGAGGAACACCGAUGGCGAAGGCAAUCCCCUGGGCCUGUACUGACGCUCAUGCACGAAAGCGUGGGGAGCAAACAGGA